rnacentral:piRNA from 1 species
UCCCUAACCCAGAGUUUGCAGUUCAGAA